GGAGUUAACUCAGUAGAGAAGGCUAAGCAUGUAGAACCGACAGCGGAGAACUGGCGGACGGGGGUUCAAAUCCCCCCGGCUCCACCA
rnacentral:tRNA from 1 species